AUUGAUAUCUUUCAUUUCUGGGUCAUCUCCUUAAAGACACUGGCCCUGGCCUCUCUCCUAUCCCUUCUUUUAUGGGCUGUGGCACAGACGUGGUAGAUAGAGACCCAGCUUUGGUAAUGCUGACAAGCACGACAUCAGGGAAUAGUAAUUCAGCAGAAAGGAAGUAACCUGUGUCCUUUAAUGACCUUGAGGAGUCAAUCUACUUCAUCACCUGGACCUCGGGACUGAAAUGUGAGAAAUACAUUUCUAUCUAAGCCUCCAUUAGCCUAACCUAAGAGGGAAAAAGGAAGGGAGGAAGAGGAAGAAGAAUGAAGAAAUAGAAGGCACGCAAGAGAUAAAAGAAAACUGAAGAGGAAGAGAAGAAGAAGAAUUGAAAAGAAAUGUUGCUUCAAAGACCCAGAGAAAGAAAAGAAAUUCCUUAGUGCCAUUGAUUUCUUAAAAUGAUUUUUAAAUGGCUGUUUGCACAUGUGGCCGAGUAACAAAGCACAGGAACUCUGAUGCCACUUUUUGCAUUCAACUGUGGGCUCCAUAUGCCAUCUUGGUAAACUUGUGGCAUCUUCCUUGAUCGAAGGGGAAUCUGGAGCAACAGUUCUUUUGGUAAAUGCUGCCAAGGUUUCAGCUCAUUUGUAACCUCCUCAGAAAGGCAUCUACAGUAGCAGUCCUGUUCCAGACUUAUCCACACCCAUCCACUUACCCUCGCUCCAUCCUCCCAAAAUAGCUUCAUCUGAACUCCUAGUUAUGUCAAUACAGUACUGGAUUUUGGAAGACAAUGGUACAAUGGCUUCAGAAGGAAAAUCAUUUUCGACUAGAAUUUUAUAGCCAGCCAAAAUCUCAGUCAAGUGUGAGCGGAAGAAAUCCUUUUUCAGAAAUACAAAGACUGAAAACAUUUACGUCCCUUUCUUUAAUGUGUUUCCACAAAAGAAAGGACUGAAACAAGCAGAGAAAGGCAUGGGAUCUGAGAAAUACGGGCAUCAACACAGGAAGAGGAUGAAGAAAAACAUCAGGAUGACAGCUGUGCAGCAGGUCCUUGUUGGGUGGGCCCUUGUAAGCUGCCCACUUCCGGCCUUUGUUCUGUUUUCCUUAUUCUCUCAUCCCAAGACUCUCACUAAUCAGCUCCUGCCAUGAGGACCUUGGAGGCCACACGCUCCAGAUGGCAUAGCUACAAGACAGAGGAGAGAUGUUGACCAUAUCGGACUUCAUAGUCAACGCAGUGCCUUACACAGUGCCCAGGAAAUAUCCAUUGCUGAGUCCCAUUCAUGGCCCAUGAAUCGGAGCUUUCAACAAAGAUUUUUUUUUCAGGUCAUCACUUAGCUUUAUUUGGAGAAUCCAUCUGUUAUAUUUUGGCUGAAGGUGGUUCCUUCCUAGGAAAAUUCACACUAAACUUUAAUGAAGAUCAUUAGAGCUUCUGUGAAACACCAAAUAAAAGACGAAGGAAUCAAAAAACAAGUGAUUUGCUAAAUGUUGUAUAAAUGGCAUUUUGUAUGCUGAACCCAAGUCUUCAAACUCAAAAUUUCUGGUUUUGUUCAUACUUUUAAAAAGAGCAUUUAACUCACAAGCCAAAUCCCGCUGGCAAGACACUUCCUAAGGGAUUUUAAAAGAAAUAUAUACUGUCAUGGACUGCAUGUUUGUAUCCUCACAAAACUCGUGUGUUGAAACCCUAAUCCUCAAUGUGAUGGCAUCUGGAGACGUGGCCUUUGGGGGUAGUUAGGUCAUGAAGAUACAGCCCUUAUGAUGGGAUUAGUGCCCUUAUAAGAAGAGAGACAAGAAUGGUUGCUUCUCUUUCUGCUGUCUGCCAUGUAACGACAUAAUGAGAAAAUGGUCAUCUACAGGCCAGGAAGAGGGCCCUCACCAAGAACCAAAUCUGCCAGCACCUUUGUUCUUGGACUUUCCAGCCUCCAGAACUGUGAGAAAUAAAGGUUUAUUUAAGCCACCCAAUCUAUGGUAACUUUUUACGACAGUCUGAGCUGACUAAAACAGGUGCCUGGUUUAUAAGAUUAUGAACACAAAUGGUCAAAAAAACUCCAUUUUGGUAAAAUAUAAAGAUCAAUUAAUAAUCUAUUUCAAUGCAAUUUAAUUAUGUCUGUUUGUCUAUAACCUACUUCAUUCCAAAACGGUAUUGAGACAGCUUUCAGAGAAAAAUACAUAUGAUUAGAAAACGAGAAAAUUAAAGAAAUAGAAAAUUCAGUUCAUUAACCUAAAUUUAAAUUAGUCAAUUUGCCAAUCAACGACAGCUAAUAGGAUACCAGCCAUUGCUGCCGAUUAGUGAGUUCUGUGUAAAUUGUAGAGUUUUUGGUCUUAAUUGCAGGCUAUAAAUAAAAAGAAACUACUCCUAGUCUUUAUGAACUUAUUAACUUGCUUUUAAAAUUUAAGAAAAGUAUUUUGAAAGUUUAAAUGGUUGUCGUUGAUUUCUUCUUUGGUAGGCAAGAUUAGUUAUUGUAAUUCUGUAUAGAAAAGCAUUAGACUACAGCAAAUUCUUAUUCUCAAAAAAAAUUUGCAUACUUCCUUUCAUGGUAUUUUUAUUACAAAAGAGGUAACCUUAAGCCAAUAUUGUGGCACUAAUACAGCAUGAAAAAAAUGCCAGCAUAUGUCCUAGAAUGAACAUAUAAUUACACCAAAAUAUAUUCUCUUUAACCUCAAGCUAAUAUUGAUUUGCUACUUGGUCACAAUGGGGUGUACACUGGAAUUUAUGAAUAAGCCAAGGCGAAUUCGUUAGCAUCAUUGGAGACGGGCAAAUAUUUGUAGGCUAAGUUAGGAGAUGAAUGCUAAAUGGACUGUUGGUAUCUGAAUCCCUCAUCAUUAACAGUUUAUUUGAUUUAGCUCAGCCAAUCACCAAUCAAUUAGCCACACUGAUUCAUCUAUCCCAUUUAAGAGAUGAAUUAGAGGAUUGAAGGGCUAAAUAAUCAGAGUUCUCCUGUUUCUGUUAAGUGUAGUCAGAUAGGCCUAGUGACUAUUUUAUCACAAUGAUACAGCAUUUUCCAACAAUGCUUUAAAUAUACCUAUUAGCAAAACAAAAAGCACAAUAUGGACAUACAAAUAGAACAAGAGUCUCUAUGCCUUCCAAGUCUAAGAAGCUUUAAGAGUAUACAAUGAUUCUGGAAACUUCUCUGGGACUGAAGGGCAAAUGAUAGACAUGUAAUUUUCAAAAAGAAAAAUCCACAAUGAGGUCUCCCUCUCAUCACUGUUCUAAAAGCACAAAACCUCUCUUCUGGAAGAAAAAUCCACUCAGCUCCACCCAGAGAGACCACUGCAGAGCACUUUUCCUGUCAAUGUUAACUCUGUUUAGUCAAUAGUCACAAUUUACCUGCUACUUUCCAUGUGAAGUAUAUAAAAUACAGUCCAAAUAUGUACCAUUUUUCCUCUAUGCAUUUCCACAUGGCAAUCCACUACAUUUAACAAAUUGCUGAUCAUUUUUUAAUAAUUAAAAGAACUAGAAAUAAUUUCAAAUGUGUUCUUUUCCAAGCUUCAAGAUAUUAAAAUGAAAGAAAAGGAAAAGGCCUUUACUAACCUUCUCAAAAAGAGACCAGCAUUUCCUAGAGUGAUAUAAAUAAUUUAAAACAAAAUAGAUAAAAAUUACAAACAACCUCAAUGUUGCAACACCAAAAAAAACUUUAAAAUAUAGCAUAAGUUGGCUCUGAAUAUACCAAAUGAAUCAAUGAUCCAUACAUAAAAUGGCAUGUGAUCUAUUAAAAGUCAGACAAAGCUACUCUACUUAAGAAAAACCUUAGCACGAGGGGCAUUAGAGCAGCUUGCAGGGGGGUUUCCCAAUCACCCAGUGUCAGAUUUAGCCAUCAUUAGAUCCCUGUAGUCAAUCUCUGUUAACUCAUUUAGCUAGUUGCUUCUGUGCCUUUUUCAAAUAAUCUGCCUCAGGGUCCAAAUAACAAAACAGAAAUGUUGAAAAGAAAACCACAGCAAGCCAUCCAGAUUUUGUGUAAAAAUUUGUCAAUAAAAGCCGCUCAACAUUUGACUUAUCAAGAAAAGCCAGUUUAAAGCGAUGUAUCCUUUUCAACCCGAGAAGGAGUACCGGUUACGUUCCUUCUAUCUGCUUUUCACUGGGGUGUGGCAAAAUCCCUGAUACAUUCAGAAGCAGAAACUAUCACAAGGUUUAAGAACAGAGUUGAAGUGUGUGCUCCACAUUUCCGAUUUGUUCUCUCAUCUACUACCACUAUCAUAAUGGAGACCUGAGGCAGCCAGCUGUUCUGUAGCUUUCUCCUGCUGUAUUCUCAGGUUGGUGUUUGGUUUGUGGUUUUGUUUGUUAUGAUGCCAUUACUGACCAUUGUGCUCCAGUUAAGUUCACUGGUCAGGAAGGGCUGAGGAUGCACUUACAGUGAAGUGAGAUGCGUACAGGGUUUUGUUGGGGUGGGGAAUAUCAGUGGGGUGGAGGAGAAAGAUGAAGAGCCAAAAAAAGAAAUGGGCCUCUGUUGGUUUGUUUCAACAUAUUUCACGUUGGAA